rfam:Triticum aestivum genome assembly, contig: Triticum_aestivum_CS42_TGACv1_scaffold_272836_3DS
UUUAUACUCCCUCCCGUCCCAAAAUUCUUGUCUUAGAUUUGUCUAAAGACGGAUGUAUCAAGUCACAUUUUAGUAUUAGAUACAUCCCUAUCUAGACAAAUCUAAGACAAGAAUUUUGGGACGGAGGGAGUACUUG